CCGUGACUACGAGGACUCUGUGGAGCAGCAGGGGAGGGGGCGUGUCCAGGAGGACACUCGCCGUCGCCAGGAGCAACUUUCGCCUCAACCCCUCCCGCCGACUCCCCACAGGCCCCUCCCACUCAACAGGCCACACCCUCGGCCGCAGCAGAACGCCAUGGACCAGCAGAGGGAGCUGGCGAGACGCCGCGAGCAGGAAAGGAGGAGGAGAGAGGUGGUAAUACUUUAUAGCAGUAAUACUACUAUAAUACUAACAUGUUAUACUAGUAUAGCAGGAGAGAGGUGGCAAUACUUUAUAGCAGUAAUACUACUAUAAUACUAACAUGUUAUACUAGUAUAGUAGGAGAGAGGUGGUAAUACUUUAUAGCAGUAAUACUACUAUAAUACUAACAUGUUAUACUAGUAUAGCAGGAGAGAGGUGGUAAUACUUUAUAGCAGUAAUACUACUAUAAUACUAACAUGUUAUACUAGUAUAGCAGGAGAGAGGCGGUAAUACUUUAUAGCAGUAAUACUACUAUAAUACUAACAUGUUAUACUAGUAUAGUAGGAGAGAGGCGGUAAUACUUUAUAGCAGUGAUACUACUAUAAUACUAACAUGUUAUACUAGUAUAGCAGGAGAGAGGCGGUAAUACUGUAUAGCAGUAAUACU
rnacentral:lncRNA from 1 species